GGAGUGAGAGGACCAGAAGGGACAUGCAGCCACAGCCAGAGGUUUGCUUUCUGGACAGAUGAGGCAAGUUGUCUGUUCCAGGGCAUUCUUCAGCCAAUGUACCGGGUGGGCAAGGGGACUACUGUGGAGGUCCCAGCACAUAUCCAGGCCAUCACUGAGUGGACAGCCACCGAGCAGGCACUGGUUGACUUCAUUGUCAAGGAGUGUGGGACCGAGGCGGUCAUCAGUGGCAAGGAACCCUCCAAGUGGCUGAUGGGUUUCCAAGGGAAGUCGCCUAACAAAGUCCCAGUGCACCUUGACAAUGUUGCCCAGCAAGACAGGAGCACUAUGUGGUGUUGUGACCAUAUUUCAUCAGUCAUUACACUGAAUUUUCAAAUAAACAUUAUUAAAAC